AGAAUGAAGCACAAUCAUUAGCUGUAGACAACGUAGCCUAAUGGAGCUGGAUCCACCACUGGCAACCUUAAAGUUACCUCCCUUGGUCCUUAAGAUGAAAUGCAACUUCAAACUCUGCCAUGCUUAGCAUCUUGUUUCAAAACAAAUAAUGGUCCACCUAGUUUGCUGCUGGUAGCCCUGUGGCUCUAUUAAUAUUAACCAUCUAUUGAUGAAGUUAACUUUCAUAAAGGAUUCUACGAAAGUUCAGAGGCAUGAAGUAUGUAAGGACAAACAAGUACUGGUCCGCAACAAAAAUAGCAUCGGUAUUCUGCUUUCAGAAAAGCCAAGAAAACCAAGAAAAAAUUCAUUCUGAGUAUAUACAGAACUGCUGGACAGAGGUCAUCCUAUACGUGUGGUACACGUACAAAUAUGACAUAAGAAGAAGUAUGAAUUAUUGCAGUCAUUAUUAAACAACGAAGUAUGCCAAAUUAGUCAUCAGGUUUCAAAGAAUCAUAGCCUUCUUUCCAUAGGUCCCGCCACGUUUUAAGGAAACGUGCCUUUUCUGUACAUUUGAAGGCAAGUUCUUCCACUUGAGCUGAUACUGCAGAUGUGGCUUCAAGAAGUUUGGUUAAUGAAAAGGCUGCGUCUCCGAUCUGCAGCCCCACUUCCUCCAGCGGGUCCACCGUUCGGCCGCUGCUCCUGCUCGGAACUGGCCAGCCCAAACUCACUGGGCUGCCAGGGUAAGAUGCUGCAGAGGCGUCUGAAGAGGAGGGAGAAGGAGGCGGCGGGGGCGGCGAAGAAACCUGCAACUUCUCAGGGUCGGCCAUGGGGAAGGGCUGGCACCGCGGAAUCCGACCCGAGCAGCCCAACGGACACCCUAUUUAUUUAUUUUAAAUAGAGAGCAGGGGCCUGGCGUUCUGGCUCACAGCUGUAAUCCGAGGACUUUGGGAGGCUGAGGUGGGCGGAUCACCUGAGGUUAGGAGUUUAAGACCAGCCUGGCCAACAUGGCGGAACCCCGUCUCUGCAAAAGUACAAAAAAAAAGUUAGUCGGGAAUGAUGGCGGGUGCCUGUAAUCCCAGCUACUGGGGAGACUGAGACAAGAGAAUCGCUUGAACCCAGGAGUCAGAGGAUGCAGGAAGCCGAGAUCGCGCCACUGCACUCCAGGCUGGGCGACAGAGGGAGACUCCGUCUCAAAAAUAAAUAAAAUACGGCAGGGCGCGGUGGCUCACGCCUGUAAUCUCAGCACUUUGGGAGGCCGAGGCAGGCAGAUCACAAGGUCAGAAGUUCAAGACCAGCCUGGCCAAUACGGUACAACACCGUGUCUACCGAAAAUACAAAAAUCAGCUGGGCAUGGUGGCUGGCUACUUGAGGUCAAGACUUUGAGACCAGCCUGGCCAGCAUGGUGAAACCCCGUCUCUACUUAACAUUCAAAAAUUAGCCGGAGGGGGUGGCGGGCGCCUGAAAUUCCAGCUACUGGGGAGACUGAGGCAGGAGAAUCGCUUCAACCCGGGAGGCGGAGCUUACAGUGAGCCGAGAUCGCGCCACAGCAUUCCAGCCUGGGUGACAGAGCAAGACUCCGUCUCAAAAAAAAAAUAAACAAAUAAAAAAUAAAGACCGGGCGUGGUGGCUCAUGCCUGUAAUCCCAGCACUUUGGGAGGUUGAGGCAGGAGAAUCGCUUGAACCCAGGAGGCGGAGGUUGCGGAGAGCCAAGAUCGCGCCAUUGCACUCUAGCCUGGGCGAAACUCCGUCUCAAAAAUAAAUAAAUAAAUAAUAGAGGUUUAAUAUAAUAGAAGUAUAUGCCAGACUAUGCACACAUAAGUGCAUGCUAUAAUUCUAUUAUCACAUAAAAUAACUGCUUACAUAUGCCUUUUCUUUAGUCCCUGGGACAGUAGACCAUGAGCUCACAAAAGGACGACCACGAGGUUGUAAUCAUAGAACCUAAUAUUAAUGCCAUGACUGAUGGCCAAACGUGGUGGUUCACACCAGUAAUCCCAAUACUUUGCCGGGCUGAGGCGGGAGGAUAAGGAGCCGGGGAGGUCGAGGCUGCAGUGAGCGGUAAUCGCG
rnacentral:lncRNA from 10 species